rnacentral:rRNA from 1 species
UACAGAGGGGGCAAGCGUUGUUCGGAAUUACUGGGCGUAAAGGGCGCGUAGGCGGCCUGUUAAGUCGAACGUGAAAUCCCCGGGCUCAACCCGGGAACUGCGUCCGAUACUGGCAGGCUUGAAUCCGGGAGAGGGAUGCGGAAUUCCAGGUGUAGCGGUGAAAUGCGUAGAUAUCGGGAAGAACAUCGGUGGCGAAGGCGGCCUGCUGGGCUGUUGCUGACGCUGAGGCGCGACAGCGUGGGGAGCAAACAGG